GUUGAAAAGAACUUUGAAGAGAGAGUUCAAGAGUACGUGAAACCGUUCUGGGGUAAACGGGUGGAGCCCUAAAGAUCGAAAGAGGAGAUUCAGUAUCCAGUCCUCCUGCCGCUCCGGGUCGUUGGGUAAAUUCCGAGUCGCCUCGCAAGGGGUUGUGCUCGGGGCCCUCGGUCCGGGUACGCGCGCGGGCGGUGGAGCGCACUUCUCCUCGAGUAGGACGCCGCGACCCGUUAGGUGUCGACCUAAGGCUCGGGUGCGAGCCCGACUUGCGGUUCGCCGCGGGUCGGAGCCCCGAUGUCCCGGCCGACUGCCCGACGGUAGUUUUACGGAAAAGGCCCGCGUGCUUUUAGCUCGCGCGCGUGCCCCGUGCAAGCGUUCGGCCGGACCCUGUCGUACGGACUUGUCCGUCGCAGACCGGUCGGCGCUGUUGGCGCGGGGACUUCUCGCGCAGUGGCCUGCUCCCGUUUGCGGCGCUCGCAACUGGGCGGCCCACCCGGCCCGUCUUGAAACACGGACCAAGGAGUCUAACAUGUGCGCGAGUCACUGGGUAUUACUAAACCCAAGGGCGAAUUGAACGAAAAGGUCGGCUUCGUGCCGGCUUAGGGAAGAUGGAGGCCCCUCGUGGGUCUCUCGCAUUCCCGGGGCGUCUCGUCCUACCUCCGCUCGUCGGUCGAAGGUGAGGCGCACCAAGAGCGCACACGUUGGGACCCGAAAGAUGGUGAACUAUGCCUGGCCAGGACGAAGUCAGGGGAAACCCUGAUGGAGGUCCGUAGCGAUUCUGACGUGCAAAUCGAUCGUCGGAGCUGGGUAUAGGGGCGAAAGACUAAUCGAACCAUCUAGUAGCUGGUUCCCUCCGAAGUUUCCCUCAGGAUAGCUGGCGCUCGUAGGACCGAGUCCCAUCCGGUAAAGCGAAUGAUUAGAGGCCUUGGGGUCGAAACGACCUCAACCUAUUCUCAAACUUUAAAUGGGUGGGAACCGGGGCUUGUUU
rnacentral:rRNA from 1 species